AGAGAGAGACAUGCGCGCAUAUCAAUAAGCGGAGGAAAAGAAACUAACAAGGAUUCCCUUAGUAACGGCGAGUGAAGCGGGAAGAGCUCAAAUUUGAAAUCUUCAAGGUUUUACCUUGACGAAUUGUAGUUUAAAGAAGUGUUUUCUGCUGAAGUUUUGGUAAAAGUUCUUUGGAAUAGGACAUCAUAGAGGGUGAGAAUCCCGUAUUUGACCAUUAUUUUCAGCUUUGUGAUACACUUUCAAAGAGUCGGAUUGUUUGGGAAUGCAGUCCAAAAUGGGUGGUAAAUUUCAUCUAAAGCUAAAUAUUGGCGAGAGACCGAUAGCGAACAAGUACCGUGAGGGAAAGAUGAAAAGAACUUUGAAAAGAGAGUUAAACAGUACGUGAAAUUGUCAAAAGGGAAGCGUUUGACACCAGUGUUGUUUUCUCGAAAAUCAAUUAAAAAUGGCUCGAUUUUGUAUUGCUGAGACCUUAAAAGCUCACUGUACAUUUUUCGUGUCUUUUUUAAUGCACUUUUCGUUUAACAAGUCAACAUCCAGUUUCUUUUGUUGUAAAAGGGUCAUUGGAAGGUGGCUUUCUUUUCGGAGAAAGUGUUUAUAGCCUUUGGCCUCUGCAAUCGAAGAGACUGAGGUCUGCAGCGUAGACUCUUCGGGGUUAGAUACAUUUGUGCUAAGUUAUAGCUUUUUAUAGACAACUUGUUGACUAUAAUUAGUCUUGUAGCUUACUCGCUUAUGCUAUUUUACCUACGCUUAGGAUGUUGAAGAUGUAGCACAUCAU
rnacentral:rRNA from 1 species